rnacentral:rRNA from 1 species
GACGAACGCUGGCGGCGUGCUUAACACAUGCAAGUCGAACGGAAAGGCCCUGCUUGCAGGGUGCUCGAGUGGCGAACGGGUGAGUAACACGUGGGUGAUCUGCGCCUUACUUUGGGAUAAGACUGGGAAACUGGGUCGAAUACUGGAGAGGACAAUGCUGGAGGCGGGGUGGUGGAAGGAUUAGUUUCGGUGAGGGAUGAGCUCGCGGCCUCUCAGCGCGUUGUUGGGGUAAUGGCGUACCAAGGCGUCGACGGGUAGCGGGCCUGAGAGGGUGGUCGGCCACCUUGGUACUGCGAUACGGCCCACACUCCUACGGGAGGCAGCAGUGGGGAAUAUUGCUCAAUGGGCGCCAGCCUGCUGAUGCGACGCCGCGUGGGGGAUGACGGCCUUCGGGUUGUAGACUCCUUUCAGCCAUGACGAAGCCCUUGUGGUGACGGUAGUGGUAGAAGAAGCACCGGCUAACUACGUG